ensembl:snRNA U6 U6 spliceosomal RNA
GUGCUCGCGUUGGCAGCACAUAUACUAAAAUUGGAAUGAUACGGAGAAGAUUAGCAUGGCCCUUGCACAAGGAUGACGUGCAAAUUUAUGAAGCCUUCCAUAUUUUU